UGGGGUGUGGCUCAGGGGUAGAGUGCUUGCCUAGCAUGUGUGAGGCACUGGGUUCGAUUCUCAGCACCACAU
rnacentral:tRNA from 1 species